rnacentral:rRNA from 1 species
UUUCUUUGCUGGCGACCGGCGCACGGGUGAGUAACACGUAUCCAACCUGCCCUUUACUCGGGGAUAGCCUUUCGAGAGAAAGAUUAAUACCCGAUAGUAUAAUGAUUCCGCAUGGUUUCAUUAUUAAAGGAUUCCGGUAAAGGAUGGGGAUGCGUUCCAUUAGGUUGUUGGUGAGGUAACGGCUCACCAAGCCUUCGAUGGAUAGGGGUUCUGAGAGGAAGGUCCCCCACAUUGGAACUGAGACACGGUCCAA